rnacentral:tRNA from 6 species
CGGGGUAUAGCGCAGCCUGGUAGCGCGCACCCUUGGGGUGGGUGAGGUCGUGGGUUCAAAUCCCGCUACUCCGA